rnacentral:lncRNA from 1 species
UCAAUUCUACAAGCAAUGGCCUGUCUUCAAACCAUCUAUUGGCAGUUGAGCUGGAUGCAGUUCCAAGCCCGGAUCUUAAAGACAUCAAUGACAACCACGUUGGAAUUGAUGUAAACAGCUUGAUAUCCAUUGAAUCUGCUCCGGUGACCUACUUUUCAGAUGAGGAAAAGGAGAAUAAGAGCUUGACUCUCAUAAGUGGUCAUGUGAUGCACGUGUGGAUAGAUUACGAUGAAGUAGAGAUGCUACUCAAUGUUACGGUUGCUCCUAUCACAAGAACAAAACCAACCUUGCCUCUCUUGUCAACACCUCUCGAUCUUUCUUCAGUUAUGUUGGAUUCUAUGUACGUUGGUUUUUCUUCAUCUACUGGAGCAGUGGCAAGCAGCCACUAUAUUCUGGGGUGGAGCUUCAACAGAGGCGGACAAGCUCAAAGUCUUGACGUGUCAAAGUUGCCUACACUUCCUACUCGAAGAAAAUCAAGAAAGAAACCACAUUUAAGAAUUGUGGUCCCAACAAUAACAGCAAUCAUUUUGCUGGUAGCAAUCUCUGGUGAUGUUUGUAUAAUAAGGCGGAAGAAAUAUGAAGAACUGCGCGAAGAUUGGGAACAGGACUAUGGUCCUCAAAGAUUCUCCUACAAGGAUUUAUACAAAGCAACCAAGGGUUUCUCAGACAGUGAGUUGCUGGGAUGUGGGGGUUUUGGAAAGGUUUACCGAGGAGUAUUGUCUUCUUCCAAUAUGCAAGUCGCGAUCAAGAAAGUUUCCCAUGAUUCCAGGCAAGGUGCUAAGGAAUUCGUUGCUGAGAUUGUUAGCAUGGGGAGGCUGAGGCACAGGAACUUGGUCCAGCUCUUCGGCUAUUGCCGGCGAAAGGGAGAGCUCCUCUUGGUCUAUGAUUAUAUGCCCAACGGAAGCCUUGAUAAACUCCUAUUUCGCAAUGACACACCCUGCCUUAAUUGGGGUCGGCGAUAUCAAAUCAUCAGGGGAGUUGCGUCUGCCCUUCUUUACCUUCAUGAAGAGUGGGAACAGGUCGUUAUGCAUAGAGAUGUGAAAGCUAGCAAUGUUCUAUUAGAUGCCGAUCUUAACGGACGGCUAGGAGAUUUUGGGCUAGCUAAGUUUCAUGACCAUGGAUCAACUCCUCAAACAACCAAAGUGGUUGGAACAGUUGGAUAUCUUGCACCAGAGAUUACUAGAACAGGAAAGUCAACUACCUGCAGCGAUGUUUUUUCUUUUGGGACAUUUAUGCUCGAAGUGGCAUGUGGAAGGAAGCCUGUAGAGUCAGAAAGACCACCUGAGGAGGUUGUUCUGGUUGACUGGGUACUUGAAUGCUGGAAGAGAGGUGCCAUUCUUGGGACAGUUGAUCCUAGAUUUGAAGGUAACCACGUGGAGGAAGAAAUGGAGGUGGUCUUAAAGCUAGGCCUGCUCUGUACACAUCGCACUCCGGCAGCUAGACCUAGCAUGAGGCAAGCGGUGCAAUAUCUGGAUGGAAAUGCUACUCUACCUGAUUUACCACUGCACGGUGAAGGAAUCGGUUUAGUUCCAGUUAGCAAUGAUGCAUCUACAGAGCAUGUUUUAACAAUCCCGAUAUCAUCAGAUGGAAUUUCUUCCAAUUCCUUGUCCGACUCUGAAUCAAUCCUCAGUGGUCGUUGAACCAGCAAUGCUUCAUGGAGGAUUGAUUACGUAAAUAUGUACAUUAAGACUUUUUCGAUGUGAAAUACAGAGGAAGGUGCCGCAUAAUUUCGAAGAUUGUAGCAUUUGUGCAAUUUUUUUCCAACCACUUGUAUAUUUUGAAGAAAGUAUCCCAUGAUUCCAGGCAAGGAACUGUUCAAUUUUUUCCAACCACUUGUAUCUUGUGAGUUAUUUUACCAUAGAACAGUCGACCUCCCUGCAGACCAUAAGCCCAGAGGCAAGGAGGGCUUGUAAGAGUUAUUCAAUUGUGUUAAAAUUGUAGUGUUUGAUUAAUAAUAUACAAAUAUUUCUUAACUAGCAGAAUUAAUAGAUUUAUGAAACAAAUAACAAAUUCUAUUUAAACUUAGCAUGCAUUGUCAAUCCAUCUUGGUUGAUUAUUGUGGUUGAUUAAAGUCAAUCGAUGAUGGUCGAUUUAUGAUUGAUCAUGUUGAUUUUGUUGGAAAAUAAUUUUGAUGCCUUUCACAUCAAAUAAAUAAUAAAUUAUAUAAGCAAAAUAGAUAUUAUUACUUACUAAAGAAUUAUAUACAAACAAAGAAAACCUGUUAUGUUAAUUAGUGUGUUAAUGAUUCAAUAAUUUAUUAUGAAGGUUAAAUUUGCUUGUCACUUAAUAUAAACUGUACAAAUUGCUUUUCAGAAUUCAAACAAAUCAUCUUAAAAUAUUGCACUAUAGAUCAUAGCCUACAAAUAAUUUUGAAAAUAUUUUAUAAUUAAUUCAAACUCUAGUCGAGCACUGAUUUAAUUAAGCUCAAAAUUCACAUGGCCUAAAAUCUCUCUAAUCUUAAAGUUUUUGUGUUUUACAAGCCAAUUUAAACUUUCAAUUUCUACUAUAUAUGCAUGUUAUAAGAUCUUAUAAUCUUUCAAUUUGGAAUUAAUAUUAUUUGGAUUUUUUAAGAUUAAUUUCUUAUCCAUUUAUAAUUUAUUUUAAGCCUGUUGUUUUUUCAUGUUAAAAUAAUUAAUUUGGAGAAUUUAUUUAUUAAAUGGUUGGUUAAUUCAAAUGAUUCUAUAAAUCUUGUCAUUGCUUCUUAAAAUUGAUAAGAUUAUAGAACUCAAAUAUUACUUAAUCAAAAAAAGAAAAAAAAACGAUAGAAAUAGAAAAAAGACAAGAAUAAUCUGUGUGCUACGCCAACGCAUGAGGAGACGAGACUAGAGCCACGCCAACGCAUUACGUGUCCACCUCAAGUUUCUUUCUUAGCCAUUACGUAUCGGCUACGGCAUCGCAUCGCAUCGCAUGACGUAUUUAAUUUCUACUAUUUAUUAUAUUCAUUUAUUACUAUUUUCUUUUAAAAGAAGUGGACUGAAUAUUGUUUUUUAAGUCUAUCUUUUUAGAAAUAUAUUAAAUUAAUAUUUUAAAAAAUUAUUUUUAAUAUCAGCCGAUUGAAAUCAUUUAAAAAUACAAUAAAAAUAUUUAUUUAAAAUUAAAAAAUAUUUAUUUUUUUAAAAAAAUAUUUUUAAAUCAUAAAAACAAAAAAACUCUAAAUACACCGUACGAGUGACUACUACAACUGUUUAUUGUCAUCUUUACCCUCUCCUAGUUUCUUGAUCAAAACACAAAGUAGACUUUAAGCAUUGAGAAUCAGAGGGGCCACUUUGACCAUCCUUCAAAGAUUAGAGCUGCUGAUAGAUUUAAUUUUCUGCUAGCUAUCAAUAUUUAACAAGACGGAUCGUUCUUUUGUAUAAAAAAGUCAAAGAUGGCCACCCAGAAAUAACGUCGUUGAAAUGGACCAAGUUUAACACAAAUAUCCUUUUUUCUUUUUUUUUUCUUCUUGAUUUCCACUUGGAUUCUUGAACCAACACUUCAAUUUGUUUUUUCUUUGAGUUUAGUCUCUUUUCUUUUGUUUACUAUUUGUUUUAUUUGAAAAACAUUAACGUCCCUAAUUACAGUUCCUUCAACACUUCAAAUCUGUGAACAAACUAGGGAAUUCUGAAAAACCAGGUCUGAAUCCGGACACUUGCGCAUCGCAUGUCCGAGCAACAGAGGUUUAAAACUAUUGAUUCAAUCUGCAAUAUUCAGUAAAAUGAUAAUUAUUUUGGAAGUCCAAUUAGUAAUAGAAUUUGUUUCUUGCCAUAGAAGAUUUUAGAAUUUUAUUUUCUUUGAUACUGUAUCAACUUUGAAAAGUAGUUUUCCCUAUUUUUUAAGAGAAAAAGUUUUGGAGAAGGUUCGCAUGCACGCAAGUCAUAGCAAUGUGAAGAGACGUGUUAAUAAUUCAGUCUUUAGAAACUGUAACAACAAUUAAGGAAAAACUCGAAGCGAAAAAACUUUUACCAAUGUGUAACUGAAGAAGCAAAAACAAUCUUCUGCACGUUCUUAUGAUGAUUGCAUCGUUCAAAUCAUUGCACUUCCUGCUCGGCCUGUUUGUUUCCUCGAAGCUCUUGGCCUUAGCUCAAGAGCAAAACCACUUCAUCUAUCAUGGCUUCACUGGAGCCAACCUGCUCCUCAGCGAGAUUGCAAAAAUCCAUCCAAAUGGUCUCUUAGAGCUGACAAACACUUCAAAACAGCAAAUUGGCCGUGCUUUCUUCCCAUUCCCUUUUCUGUUCAACACAUCUUUAUUCAACAAUUCUCGGUCUCUCUCUUUCUCUACCCAGUUUGCGUUUUCCAUGGUCUCUGAGCUGCCUACACUUGGUGGCCAUGGCAUGGCCUUCACAAUCUCUCAAUCUACGAACUUCACAGGGGCUUUGGCAACUCAGUACCUUGGAAUCCUCAAUUCUACAAGCAAUGGCCUGUCUUCAAACCAUCUAUUGGCAGUUGAGCUGGAUGCAAUUCGAAGCCCGGAUUUUAAAGACAUCAAUGACAACCACGUUGGAAUUGAUGUAAACAGCUUGAUAUCCAUUGAAUCUGCUCCGGUGACCUACUUUUCAGAUGAGGAAAAGGAGAAUAAGAGCUUGACUCUCAUAAGUGGUCAUGUGAUGCACGUAUGGAUAGAUUACGAUGAAGUAGAGAAGCUACUCAAUGUUACAGUUGCUCCUAUCACAAGAACAAAACCAACCUUGCCUCUCUUGUCAACACCUCUCGAUCUUUCUUCUGUUAUGUUGGAUUCUAUGUACGUUGGUUUUUCUUCAUCUACUGGAGCAGUGGCUAGCAGCCACUAUAUUCUGGGGUGGAGCUUCAACAGAGGCGGACAAGCUCAAAGUCUUGACGUGUCAAAGUUGCCUUCACUUCCCCCUCAAAGAAAAUCCAGAAAGAAGCCAUAUUUAAGAAUUCUGGUCCCAACAAUAACAGCAAUCAUUUUGCUGGUAGCAAUCUCUGGUGCUGCUUAUAUAAUAAAGAGGAAGAAAUAUGAAGAACUGCGCGAAGAUUGGGAACGGGAGUAUGGUCCUCAAAGAUUCUCCUACAAGGAUUUAUACAAAGCAACUACAGGUUUCACGGACAGGAAGUUGCUGGGAAGUGGAGGUUUCGGAAAGGUUUACAGAGGAGUAUUGCCUUCUUCCAAUAUGCAAGUCGCGAUCAAGAAAGUAUCCCAUGAUUCCAAACAAGGAACUAAGCAGUUUGUUGCUGAGAUUGCUAGCAUGGGAAGGCUGAGGCACAGGAACUUGGUCCAGCUCCUAGGCUAUUGCCGAAGAAAGGGAGAGCUCCUCUUGGUCUAUGAUUACAUGCCCCACGGAAGCCUUGAUAAACUCCUAUUUCACAAUGACACACCCAGCUUUAAUUGGGUUCAUCGAUAUCAGGUCCUCAGAGGAGUUGCGUCUGCCCUUCUUUACCUCCAUGAAGAGUGGGAACAGGUUGUUCUUCAUAGAGAUGUUAAAGCUAGCAAUAUACUGUUAGAUGAUGAUUUCAAUGGUCGACUAGGAGAUUUUGGGCUUGCUAAAUUCUAUGAUCGUGGGGCUAAUCCUCAAACAACCUGUGUGGUUGGAACAGUUGGAUAUAUCGCGCCAGAGGUUACUAGAACAGGAAGGGCCACUACCAGCAGUGAUGUUUUUGCUUUUGGCACUUUUAUGCUUGAAAUGGCCUGUGGAAGGAAACCUGUAGAGCCAGAACAAUCAGCAGAAAAGAUGAUUUUGGUUGACUGGGUUCUUGACUCCUGGAAAAUAGGAGACAUUCUUCGAACAGGUGAUCCAAGAUUGGAAGGUAAUUACGUGGUGGAGGAAAUGGAAUUGGUUUUAAGGCUAGGUCUGCUUUGUUCUUUCUCCACACCACAAGCUAGGCCAAGCAUGAGGAAAAUUUCGCAAUAUCUGGAUGGGAAUGCUAGCCUGCCAGAGAUGCCUCUUGAUGGUGCUAGCAUAGGUUUGAUGCCAGUUAGUCAUGAAGAGCCUGGGGAUUUCACCUUGUCUUUCCAUAGAUCUAAUGAUUACUCUGCUCAUUCCUUCUCUAGUACCGACUCAAUCCUCAGCUGUGGUCGUUGAAUCAUGGCUUAACGAGGUAAAAAUUCUUUAAUCUAAAGACUAACAGCUGGCAUGUGGAAGGUAGAUUGGAAUACUUAGAGGGUUACCUUGUUUGUGCAUACCAUAGUAAUCCUCAAAGCACAACAAAGACUGCUCCAUGAGGGGUUAAUUAAUUAGCAUACAAACAUAGGUAUAAUUUAUGAUUUAAGCAAAACACAUGGUUGAAAUAGUACAAUGUUUGAUGUACAAUGCUGGUCAAUGAUGGCCGUGUAGCUUCUUCCAUUCUCCUCAGUGCUCUAACCCCACCCCACAAUUCAACUCAACUAUGCCUCAUUCCCAAACUAGUUAGAAUCAGUUUCACAGAUCUUCCUUCUCCAUUCAUUUAGUCCUUGUUCCUUUUUUGAUAAAACUCUCCACUUACUUCUGUUAUGGACUCAAAUGAUUAAUCACCUAUGCCUACCUCGUUUUUACAUGGAAGGUUAAUUACAUAUUGAAAUAUUCUGACUUCUGAUAUAGUGAUCUGCAGAAGCAUAGGCUUCAGUCAACUUUCUAAAAUACAGAAAAUCCAACACCCAGUAUCAUCGAUUAUCCUAACUAGAGUGCAGUUCAGUGUGAUAUAGCUGCUGGCUGGGUGGUUUAUUCACAGACUAGUAGUGGAAUAAAAAAAAUGGUGAUAAGGUAUCUUGAUGCUGAUGUUAUACACACAUAUAACUGUUUUAAUCUUUCUACAAACAGUCAAGAUUGCAAAAACCACGUUCAAGGAAGAAAGAAGAUAUAGACAGCAGCUUUGUAGGUUGAAAAGGGAUUAAAACACCAGCCAAGAAAAAGUAAAAGAAACAUUGCAACAAAAUUUGCAAUAAGAAGGCAGCAAUAUUAAUAACCCUGCUUUCAGAAAGAGUGUACAUAGUCAAUUACCUAAUGAAAAGGCUAGAGAUGUCUGAUCAAUAAGUUUCCAUCAUUUCUCCUGGUUAUUGGGUCACAGCUUGUUGCAGAUGAGGCAGCGCAACCUCUUGGGACAGAGUACGUUCACUUGCUGUGCAGCCUUUCCUGCAUCCAACUACCCUUAGUGAUUAAACAGACUCUAAUUUAUCAAGCAUGGAGAUUAGUUGUAAUGAUCAACUUUAAUUCUAAUUUGGGUCCCUCAAAGAACUUACACAGAGCAAGGUAAACAUGAAGUGACUUGAUUCCAUCUUAGGAAAAACAAGCUCAUACUGGAAAAGAUUUAACAGACAUUAGCCUCCCCGAAAAAUACCACAAAAAAAAAAAAAAACAAAAACAAAAGGAAGUUGAUACAGAUGCAGGAUAGCCAUCAACGUGAAAAUUACCGGUACUGAUGUGUUCAUAUGAACUUAUGGUGCCCGUGUGAGCUUGGAAGAGAGAACCAACCACUCCCUUUCCUCCUGGUAAUAUCUUGCUGGUCACAGAGGUGUCAAAGGCAAGGACUGCAGCCAUGGAUCAACUGUUGUAGUGGCUGUGACUGACCAAAUCAGCUCACUAAGAUAAUCCGCCUAUAGGAAAAGAAAUGAAUCAGGGAAGGAUGAUCUGUGAGUGGUGUGGUUUUUAUUAUGAAAUAAAAGUUUGUUUUUGUAUUUUAAAAUGUUUUUUAAAAAUUUUAAUUUUGUUUUAAAUAAGUUUUUUUUAUGUUUUUAAAUAUGUUAAAAGUAAUUUUUAAAAAAAAUAUAUAUUAUUUUAAUAUAUUUUUAAACAAUAAAUACUUUAAAAAAUAACAUUAUUACACUAACAAAACAAAAUGAAAAAGCUUAAGAAAUAGCUAAUUAUCACUAAAAAGUGAAAGGGAGACAUCUUAAUGGCAAAGUGAUGGCUGAUGUGCCAAUGACAGCCAUGAAUACCACUUAUUGGGACUAUACAUAGACAAACAUCUGAUUGAUGAUGAUAGGCAGAGCUCAUGAAUAGCUUGAACCACAACCUUUUGAACAGUUCCAAGAUAUUUGAAAGUAUCUUGUGAGGUUGCAGCAAACUGGAUAAGCCACCCGUUCCGUCUUUUCCCUUUUGCAAGUAUCACAUGCUUAAUUGCUUACACAAACUAUUUAAAACUACUAAAGAAUUUUAAUAAAAGAAACGCCAGCUGAUUGCCAGUUUUGGCGAAACGUUCAAAAGGCUUUGGACAAGGUUGAAGUCGGAGACAAAUUCAAAGCUACAGUAGCCCUUAAUGCUGAUGUUUACAAAUCAUCUUCCAAUAACCCAUCUUCGACUGUUGGGAACGAGCCUUUCUUGUCAAGUUUUAAUAGCACUUGCGACAAUGUUACGUUUACGUUUCCACCAUUUCAAGACGUUCAUAAGGCUUAGGACAAUGAUGGAGUCAGAGACAAAAUCAAAGCUACAGCAGCCCUUAAUGCUGAUGUUCAUGAAUCAUCUUCCAACAAACAACCUGAUGGCAAUUUCCGUAACAACAUAAAGGAUGUCACGAUUCACACUGUGAAGUUCGUCAAAUUAAAGCUCAUAAUGGGAGAAGUUGGCUGGCCUACAGAUGGUAACAGUGCUGGCGAUUUGAAGAUCAUAAUGGGAGAAGUUGGCUGCCUACAGAUGGUAACAUUAAUGCCGACCCCAAAUUAGCUAAAACGUUCCAUGACGGUCUCUUUAAAGAAGGGAACCCCUGUCCGACGAGGUUAAUUGGAUGUGUAUCUCUUUGGCCUAAUCGAAGAAUCAGAAGAGCAUUGCACCAGGACAUUUCGAGAGACAUUGGGGGCUCUUUCGCUUCGAUGAACAGCUAAAAUUUCCAUGGAUUUAUCUGGACAAGGUGAUGAAGAGAUGCUAAUAGCAUCAUAUGGAGUCCAAUACAUGCCAUCUCAAUGGUGUGUGCUUGAUGAGGAAAAUAAGAACUUGACCAUGAUAAAAUUGAAAUCAGCUAUGCCCUGCUCUUUGGUCGUGAAUGUUGAAUAUUUAGAUAGCAUUUGGAAAUGCAGUUUUUUAAUUUUUUUAAUUUAAAAUUAUUUUUUUAUAUUUUGGAUUAUUUUGAUGUUAUGAUAUUAAAAAUUAUUUUUUAAAAAAUUAAAAUUAUUAUUUUUAUAUAUUUUUAUAUAAAAAGUAAUUUAUAAAAUAACAUCUAUCAUCUUCAAAUAUCUUCUUGCUAGAGCUCCGCCUUGGCAUGCAUGCCCACUAGGGGUGUUCACGGUUCGGUUCGGAUCGGUUUUUAUCAAAAAAAGUAACCAAACCGAAAUUUUUUUUUAAAAAAAAAAACCGAAACCGGUUCAAACCGACCGGUUUCGGUUCGGUUCGGUUCGGUUUUUUAGAGAAAAAACCGGUUCAAACCGGUUUGGCUCGGUUUUUCCGGUUUGGCUCGGUUUUUUCGGUUUGGCUCGGUUUGGCUCGGUUUUUUUCGGGUUCGGUUCGGUUCGGUUUUUCCGGUUCCAGGCUUAAAAAACCGAAACCGAACCGAACCGGUCGGUUUUUUCAAAAUUUUAAUCGGUUUAAUCGGUUUUUUUUUUCGGUUCGGUUUUUUUGGUUAUUUUUUUUCCGGUUUUCUCGGUUUAAUCGGUUUUUCGGUUUUUUUGAACACCCCUAAUGCCCACUACCCAUCUUUAUUAAUUGUGUCUAUGGUUUUGGUUAUCUUGUUUUUCUAUUUUUUUUUCUUGUAAAUGACAAGUUUCAUUAUGUAUUUUGUUUUUCAUUUAUAUAUGUUUUUAUAUUUUUCUCCAAAAUUUUAAAAUUAAAUAUUUAUUAUCAUAAAAUUUUAUUCUUGUCAAUUGUCAUAAUUCUUUGAAAAUUUUUGAAGCAUGUCAUUAUGCUUAAAGAUAUUUAAGUUUUUUAUUUAUAAAAAUAAAAUUACAUAUCUGAAAAUUUAUAUUUUUUUUAUUUUUACAAUCAUAAUUUCAUUUGAAUAAUUUAUAAUAAUGGUCGUAUAAAAAAAGAAUAGAUUAUAAUUAUAAAUUGUUUUAUAAAUGAGAAAAAACAUACAUUCAAAAAAGAUAUUAUGAAAUAUUUUUUGAAAGAAAAAACAAUUAAAGGUAAUUUUUUAAAUAUAUAAAGCACAAUUAAAUUUGAACUUUCUUGGAAGAUAAGCUAUAAAAAUAAAUUUAUUGAUCUUAAGAAUUAGCACAAGAAGAUUUAUUGACAAUUUAUCUUUAAAAAUUAAAUUUAUAGAUACUUCUUUCAACUUCCUCUUUCUCUUUCUAUUUUAAAGUUGUGUGGCACAAAAAUUACACGUUGAAGGAAAGAACGUGUGUAUAUCCUCUUUUUAAGUGUGUGUUUAGUAGUGCAUUAUAUGUUAUUUUUUAAAAGUAUUUUUAAUUUAAAAUAUAUUAAAAUAAUGUAUUUUUAUAUUAAUACAUUAAAAUUAUAAAAUAAAUUUAAAACAAAUAUUAAAUUAAUAUUUUUUUCAUAUAAAAAAUUGGCUUAACAAACAUUAUAAAAAAUAAAUCGAACCACAAAAACAAUAGCAGCCUUAAAUGCAACCAAACAUGCUUAAAGCAAGCAUUAGGUUUUAAUAAUAAUAAUAAUAAUAAGAAGCGAGCAAGGGUUGCAUACCCGAGCGAUGAUUGCAGACCCAGUUUCCAAACCCUCACCCCUAAGCUGCAGACCCACUUGCCAAGGUUUGCAGAACCCCGCGCUUGGGGUGUGCAGAACUAGGAGCGGGGUGUAGACCCACCCGUCUGGGUUUCUUCUAUUGCGCCUGAGGUCUGCAGACCCCCCAGGAGUUGUAGAACCCGUAGAGAAAAUUAACAAAUUUGAAAAAAAAAUGAAAACAAAUAUAAUAACUAAUAACAAUUAUUAUUGUUAUUGUUAUUGUUAUUAUUAUUAUUAUCGUAAAUAAAUUUUAUAAAAAUAUUAUUACUAUAAAAACUUGGACUAGACAAGUUUAAUAUUAUUAUUAUUAUACUAAAUAUUAUUGUUAUUUAUUGUUGUCAUUAGUAAAUUGAAAACAAAAUUAUUAUUUAUUGUUAUCAUUUCAGGUGGGGUUGAAUUUCCUUAUUAAAACAUGUUUUGUUUUGGUUUUUAAAAAUGCUUUGAAACAAAUUUGACAAUUUUUUAUUUUUUUCAUUACUUCAAAUUAAUAUUUUUUCUUUUAAUUCAUAUUAAGAUGUUUUUGUAUUAUUUUGAUGUGAUUAUAUAAAAAAUAGAUUUAAAACAAUAAAAAAUAUUAUCUCAAUAUAUUUCAAAAAAAAUAUUUUAAGAUAUUUUCAAUUUUAUUUUUUUCCCUCUUCAAAUAUUUUUUUCUCUUAUUGAUUUUUUUCAUACUGUAAAGAGAAAAUAAAUUAAUGUGACUUUUUUUUAUAUUAUACAAAAGUUGGGUGAUGAUAAUUUUUUUUCAUUUCAAGUUGGGUUGAAUUUUCUUAUUAAAGUAUGUUUGGUUUUGCGAUUCAAAAAUGGUUUGAAAAAAAUUUAAAUUUUUUUUAUUGUUUUCUUUACUUCAAAUUAAUAUUUUUUAUGUUUUUAUAUUUUGUUUUUAAAUAUAUUGAGAUUGAGUCUGGUUGCAUAGCCACACCAAAAAGAAUAUAUUAAGUUGGGUCCUAUCCAGCAGGACCCAAAAUAGCUUUGGGUCCAGCCGCCGCUGGACCCAUCAGCCUUGGGUCUUGUCCCUAACAGGAUCCAUCAGCGUUAAGUCCUGCUCCUAGCAGGACCCAUCACUAUUUUUUUUUUUUUCUUUUCUAUUGGGUCAGGCAUUUUCUUCCAGAACCAAGAAACUUGGGUAAGAAACGACGCCUCACCCAAGGAGCUUGGGUGUGGCUAGGCACAGACCCAAAUCCAAAUCCCUUUGGUCUUAAAGACCCGCCUGGCCCAAGAUUAUUGGUCCUUCGUCAGGACCUAAGGCUAAUGGGUUAUGCGUCAGGAAUCAAGGCUAAUAGGUCGUGAGUCAAAACCCAAUGUUCUUGGGUCCUGUGUCAGGACCCAAUUUCCUUAGGUUAUGUCAGGACCCAAAACUAAUGGAUGUGACAUCAAGACCCAAGAUUCUUGGAUCUUAGAUUUCUAAAUAUAAUUAUUUAUGAUAUAAAUAUAAUUAUUUUUAUUAUAAUUAAAAGUACUAAUAUUAAAAAUAGUAUUAUUUGUGAUAUAAAUAUUACUAUUUUUAAAAUAAUUAAUAAAUUUGAAAAACAUUAUUAUCAGUAUUGAAAAACAACUAUAGAUUUCAUUUGAAGUGUAAAAUAAUUAAUAAUAAUAAUAAUAAUUAAAUUUUAAAAAAAUAUUAUUAUUAUCGAAGAAAAAACAUAUUUUUUUUAAGAUUAAAAAAAUAAAAAAUUUGGCUGACAAGUUAAAUAUUAAUAUUAAUAUUAUAAAUAUUAUUGUUGGAUUUAGCGUUGCAGCCAGACGCAACGCUCAUGGGUUCGUCGUUGCAGCCAAACUCAACACUUUUAGAUCUUAGAUUUUUAUUAUAUCUUUUUAUUAAAAUAAAAGGUGAGCCCGGGCCGUAGUGCGGGCAAAUAAGAAAAAUGAAAAAAAUAUCAAUUAUUAUUAUUAUUAUUAUCGUUAAUAAACUUUUUUAAAAACAUUUUUACUAUAAAAAAUUUGGCCAGACAAGUUCAAUACUAUUAUUAAUAUGAUAAAUAUAAUUAUUUGUAUUCUAAAUAUUAUUAUUUUUAUUAUAAUUAAAAGUAUUAGUGUUAGAAAUAUUAUUAUUUGUGAUAUAAAUAUUAUGAUUUUUUUUAUAAUUAAUAUUAUUAAUAUUAAAAAUACUAUUUUUUAUUAUAAAUAUUAUAAUUUUUAUUAUAAUUAAUAUUAUUCUUAUAAUAAUUAAUAAAUUUGUAGAAAAUAUUAUUAAUAUUGAAAAAAAUAGAUUUAAUUUGAAGGGUAAAAUUAAGAAUUAUUAUUACUAUUAUUGUUGUUGUUAUUGUCAUUACUAGAUUUUAAAACAAAAUUACUAUUGUCAUAGAAGAAAAGCAUAAUUAUUUUUUAAAAGAUUGAAAAAUAUGAGAAUUUGGGCAGAGAAGUUAAAUAUUAUUAUUAAUAUUAUAAAUAUUAUUAAAUUCAUUAAUAUUAUUACAAUAAAAAUAAAUAUUAUUGCUAUUAAAGAAAACAUAGAUUUGAUUUGAAGGGUAAAAUCAAUUAUUAUUAUUGUUAUUGUUAUUGUUAUUAUUGUUAUUAUUAUUAUUAUUAUUAUUAUUAUUACUAUUAUUUUCUUCACUUCAAAUUAAUAUUUUUUCUUAAUUCAUAUUAAGAUGUGUUUGUAUUAUUUUGAUGUGAUUAUAUAAAAAAUAUAUUUAAAAAAAUUAAAAAAAUAUUAUCUCAAUAUAUUUUUUAAAAAUAUUUUAAGAUAUUUCCAAUUUUAUUUUUUACUCUCUUGAAAAAACAUUUCUUUUUUCUUAUUGAUUUUUUUUUCAAACUGUAAAAAAAAAUUAAAUUAAUGUGACUUUUUUUAUAUUAUACAAAAGUUGGGUGAUGAUAAUUAUUUUUUCAUUUCAGGUGGGGUUGAAUUUUCUUAUUAAAGCAUGUUUGAUUUUGGUUUUCAAAAAUGCUUUGAAAAACAUUUGACAAUUUUUAUUUUUUGUCUUUACUUCAUAUUAUUAUUUUUUCCUUUAAUUGAUAUUAAGAUAUUUUUGUAUUAUUUUGAUGUGAUUAUAUAUAAAAUAGAUUUAAAAAAUAAAAAAAAUUAUCACAAUAUAUUUUUUUAAAAAUAAAAAAUAUUUUAAGAUAUUUCCAAUUUUAUUUUUUUCCCUCUUGAAAUUUGUUUCUUUUCUCUUAUUGAUUUUUUUUUAUACUGUAAAGAGAAAAUAAAUUAAUAUGACCUUUUUUUAUAUUAUACAAAAGUUGGGUGAUGAUAAUUUUUUUUUUCAUUUCAAGUUGAGUUGAAUUUCAUUAUUAAAGCAUGUUUUGUUUUGCGUUUUAAAAAUGCUUUGAAAAAAAUCUGAAAUUUUUUUAUUGUUUUCUUUAUUUUAAAUUAAUGUUUUUUAUGUUUUUAUAUAUAUUUUUAUUUUGUUUUUAAGUAUAUUGAGAUUAGGUCUGGUUGCGCAGUUACAUCCAAUGAGAAUAUAUUAAGUUGGGUCUUGUCCCGAGAAGGACCCAAAAUAGCUUUGGGUCCAGCUGCCGCUAGACCCAUCAGCAUGGGUCCUACCUCUACAAGGACCCAUCAAUAAUUGUUUUUCAUUUUUUUUUUCUUUUCUCUUGGUUUGGGCAGUCUCUUCCAGACCCAAAAAACUUGGGACAGGAAAAGGAGGGCACACCCAAGGGAGCUUGGGUGUGGUUAUGGAGUAGACCCAAAUCCCUUAGGUCUACAACUCCGUUUGACCCAAUAUUAUUGGUCCUUCUUCAGGAUCCAAUUUUUUGGGUCCUGAGUUAGGACCCAAGGCUAAUGUGUCCUGCGUCGGGAUCCAAUGCUCUUGGGUACUGAGUCAGGAUCGAAUUCUCUUGGGCUGUGUUAGGACCCAAAGUUCUUGUGUCCAUCAUCAGAACCCAAGGCUAAUAAGUUCUGCAUUAUGACUCAUGGUUCUUGUGUGUUAGGUUUCUAAAUAUAAUUUUUUGUAUUAUAAAUAUUAUUAUUUUUAUUAUAAUUAAAAGUAUUAAUAUUAAAAAUAGUAUUAUUUGUGUUAUAAAUAUUAUUAUUAUUAUUAAAAUAAUUAAUAAAUUUAAAAAAAAUUAUUAUUUGAUUUGAAGUGUAAAAUUAAUAUUAUUAUUAUUAUUAUUAUUAUUAUUAUUAUUAUUAUUAUUAUUAUUAAAUUUUAAAAAAUUAUUAUUACUAUGAAAGAAAAACCAUAAUGUUUUUUUUUGAAAGAUUAAAAAAAUAAAAUUUUUGACAAACAAGUUAAAUAUUAUUAUUAAUAUUAUAAAUAUUAUUGUUGGGUUUUGCAUUACAGUCAGACUCAACGCUCUUAGAUCCGAUAUUACAGCCACACCCAACGUUUUUAGAUCUUAGAUUUUUAUGAUAUUUUUUUUAUUAAAAUAAUAGGUGAGCCCGCAGCAUUACUCUUACGUAAAAAUUAAUGAGUUAAAAUUGAAAAUGGGUUUGGAUUUCCUUAAUUUUACCCUGGAUUGGAUUAUGUGAAAAAAAAUUAAAAAGUUACCCUAAAUUUUAUAAGUUUAUAAUACUUUAAAUUAAUAAAAAAAAUUAAAGUAUUAUAAGUUUGUCAUUAUAUUAUAUGUUUCACGUCAUUUGGGUUGCCAUUGUCAAAACCAUAGUUAUUAAACCCGGCCCGGGGUUGACCCGGCCAAGAGGCCGGGUCCCGGGUUUCAUAGGUCAACCCGGAAAAAUUAAAAAAAAAAUUAAAGUUUUAAUAUUUCAUAUGAAAAAAUCCAUGUAAAUAUAAAUUAUACAUAUUGUAAACAAUGAAGUUUAAAAGAAUAUUUUAAAAAGGUUUUUAUCCCACAUAAAAAAAAUAUUAUGUUAAGUUUUUAAGUUGAAGUAUUUAAACUAAAAACGUUUUUUAUCCCACAUUGAAAAAACAUGAUUUUUUACUUGGGAACAUAAAGUAUAUAUAACAAUGGGUUUCAAAUCUCACAUUUAAAAAAAAAAACUGGAUCUCGUUCAAGUUUAUCCGGGUCGCCUGAGUCAUGAGUUGACCUGCCGGGUCACCCGGAUUUAGCUGUACUGUUGCCCCAACCAGUCUUUUACUAAACCAAGUAGCAGGGCCAAGUCCUCUUCCUUCGACAUCGAAGCUUCUAUAUGCUUCAAUGCUGUUGAAUUUGCCGACGGCUGUUUUUAAUGAUUCAAUAAUUUAUUAUGAAGAUUAAAUUGCUUGUCACUUAAUGUAAACGGUCUAAAUACAAAUUGCUUAUCGGGAUUCAAACAAUUUUAUCUUAAAAUAUUGCACUAUAAAUCAUGACCUAUAAAUAUUUAAAUUUUUUAAGAUUAAUUUUUUAUUUAUUUAUAAUUAAUUUUAAAUUUAUUAUUUUUUAUAUUAAAAUAAUUAAUUAAUUUGACAAAUUUGUUUAUUAAAUGAUUGUAUCGUUCUUCUGCAUAGAGUCAAAGAUGGCCACCUAGGAAGAACGUCGUUGAAAUGGAUUUUUCACCCUUCAAAUUAAAUUAAAUUAUAAAUAAAUAAAUAAAUCUCAGACACGUGCUUGACUAAGUUUAUUCAUUGGAAUGGUGCGUUCGCAGAUUUGCCCUUGCACUGAAAUAUUGAGGUCAAUUUAGUCUUUUCACGGGAUCCAAAUUAAUCUCAGACACGUACACUUACAAGCAAAAACAAUUAACUUGUAUUCAGGUGCUUUUUUAUCUUUUUAAACUGAUUUUUUUUAUUAUAAUAAAGUUAAUUUACAAGCAAUUUGAUUAUUUAAUAAAUCUAUUUAUAUUAAAAAAAACCUGGCACGUGGGCUUUUCUUAUGCUAUUUGUGUGGCUGGUACCAUGAUGUUUGGAAGGCAAAUAGUGGUUUUCAAGGCGGUGUUGAAAUCGUCUUGACAGUUCUUUCAUGUUUAGGUUACGCUUGUGGUCAACCAAUCUAAGAUUUAGUGCUAAUAACUUUCUUUUUUUCCUUCUUGAUUUCUGCACUUGACCCUCUGAAAUUUAAAACCAGCCUUUCAAAUUAUUUUUUCUUGGAAUUUGAUCUCUUUUCUUGUAAUUAUUAUUUGUUUUAUUUGAAAUAAUUUAUAGAAUUAAAAUUUUUUUCAACUUCAUCAUCCUUCAACUUUUUCAUCUAUUAAAUUUGGUCCUUAUUUAUUCAUUUUAGAUGGUUUUUAGAAUUAAUUUUUUUUCAUGAUUUUAUUCUCCAAUUUUUUUCUAUCAAAUUUUAUCCUCAUUUUCUCCUUUAUUUAAGCUCGGAUCUCUUUAGCUUCAUCAUUCGGUAUUUAUUUAAUAAGAGAUUAGACUCCGUUAUUUUUUUAUUUUAUUUCUAUAGAAACUUUCAUUGGUUAUGAAAAUAACGUGGGUUAUAUUGAGUCUUUUUAUUUGUUGCUCUUUGUUAAAUUUAGCUUUUUUUGAGAAAUUUAAUUUUUUAUUAAAUUAAAUUAAUUAAUUAAAUAUAAGCAUGAAAUGCUCAUUUCAUGAUAUUUUACUUGGUUUUAUUUCUGGUGAUAAGACGGUGUUCACAGACUUUUCCUUCAUUUGCUAUUGGGUCUUAUAUUGGUAACUCAUUUUUUAUAGUUAACUAUUGCAAAAAAAAAUUAUUUUAUUUACCGUUGAUAUCUUUUUUAAUCAUAUUAUUAAAUUAAUCAAGCUUAUUGAAUCAAGUCAAAUUAAUUACCUAAAUCUCAAAUUUGUUUUGCUUCUUUAAAAAUGUUGGCGCCCUUGAAUAUUUUUUUUUGUCAAUUUUUUUUUUAUAUAUCUAUUAUCAUUGUAUUUUUUUUACUCGUAUUAUUUAAAUUAAUCUAACUUAUUAAUUCCCAUAAAAAAUGACUGGAGUCUCAUUAACUUUUUAAAACAUUUUAGAAACAAUUGUGCCAUCUUAGCAUCUUUUUUACCGUUAAAAAAAAAAACUUCAGCCUAUGCAAGCCAUCCAUCUAGUUUCAAUCUAGUACCCCAUUUCCAUUGCUCAUAAGAAUCAGGCUUGAACAUCCUUUUAUUUUGGUUUAGAUAAAUUAAAGAAAUGCCAUUGCAGUGCUCUUUGUUACUUCAAUCUUCUUUUUACCCUAAACUAAGUAGAGUUCCUUCAACACUUUAAAUCUGUGAACAAACUAGGGAAUUCUGGAAAACCAGGUCUGAAUCUGGACACUUGCGCACCGCAUGUCCGAGCAACAGAGGUUUAAAACUAUUGAUUCAAUCUUCAAUAUUCAGUAAAAUGAUAAUUAUUUUGGAAGUCCAAUUAGUAAUAGAAUUUAUUUCUUGCCAUAGAAGAUUUUAGAAUUUUAUUUUCAUUGACCUUGUAUCCACUUUGAAAAGUAGUUUUCCCUAUUUUUUUCCAAGAAAAAGCUUUGAAGAAGGUUCGAAUGCGCCCAAGUCAUAGCAAUGUGACGAGAAUUGUUUAUAAUUCAGUCUUUAGACUGAGGAUUUGAAACUGUAACAACAAUUAAGGAGAAACUCGAAGCGAAAAAAGUUUGUUUUCUUUUACCAAUUAAUGUGUAACUGAAGAAGCAAAAGCAAUCUUCUGCACGUUCUUAUGAUGAUUGCAUCGUUCAAAUCAUUGCACUUUCUACUCGGCCUGUUUGUUUCCUUGAAGCUCUUGGCCUUAGCUCAAGAGGAAAACCACUUCAUCUAUCAUGGCUUCACUGGCGCCAACCUGCUCCUCAGCGAGAAUGCAAAAAUCGAUCCAAAUGGUCUCUUAGAGCUGACAAACACUUCAAAACGGCAAAUUGGCCGUGCUUUCUUCCCAUUCCCUUUUCAGUUCAACACAUCUUUAUUCAACAAUUCUCGGUCUCUCUCGUUCUCUACCCAGUUUGCGUUUGCCAUGGUCCCUGAGCUGCCUACACUUGGUGGCCAUGGCAUGGCCUUCACAAUCUCUCCAUCUGUGGACUUCACAGGGACUAUGGCAACUCAAUACUUUGGAAUCCUCAAUUCUACAAGCAAUGGCCUGUCUUCAAACCAUCUAUUGGCAGUUGAGCUGGAUGCAGUUCCAAGCCCGGAUCUUAAAGACAUCAAUGACAACCACGUUGGAAUUGAUGUAGACAGCUUGAUAUCCAUUGAAUCUGCUCCUGUGACCUACUUUUCAGAUAAGGAAAAGGAGAAUAAGAGCUUGACUCUCACAAGUGGUCACGUGAUGCACGUGUGGAUAGAUUAUGAUGAAGUAGAGAAGCUACUCAAUGUUACCGUUGCUCCUGUCACAAGAACAAAACCAACCUUGCCUCUCUUGUCAACAUCUCUCGAUCUUUCUUCUGUUAUGUUGGAUUCUAUGUACGUUGGUUUUUCUGCAUCUACUGGAGCAGUGGCUAGCAGCCACUAUAUUCUGGGGUGGAGCUUCAACAGAGGCGGACAAGCUCAAAGUCUUGACGCCUCAAAGAAAAUCCAGAAAGAAACCAUAUUUAAGAAUUCUGGUCCCAACAAUAACAGCAAUCAUUUUGCUGGUAGCAUUCUCUGGUGCUGCUUAUAUCAUAAGGAGGAAGAAAUAUGAAGAACUGCGCGAAGAUUGGGAACAGGAGUAUGGUCCUCAAAGAUUCUCCUACAAGGAUUUAUACAAAGCAACUAC